UGAGCAAAGGCAGCAAACCACAGUCC
rnacentral:piRNA from 1 species